AGCUCGGGGACCACGCGGAGGUUGUAAUUGGUCUCUAGACCACACCUAGUUGUUGAGUGCCGCUGCUUGAAAAUCUCAGUUCUGCCGAGAUCGCAGAAUACACACAAGCUACCUUUGGGCACCAGAGCAGACAGAACCGCGGAGCUUCAGGGUGGAAGAUUCGUGGAAACUUUGCCAACGCGAUGCCGGCCUCGUCCACCGUCCACGUGCUGCAGCUGCUGCGGGAGCUGCUCGCCUUCGUGCUCCUCAGCUACACGGUGCUCAUCGGGGCGCUGCUGCUGGCCGGCUGGACCACUUACUUCCUGGUGCUGAAGUGACAGCGCCGUCGCCGCGCCCGGCCCCGCCUCCCGCCCGGCCCCGCCUCCCGCCCGGCCCCGCCUCCCUAACUCACCAGGAAAUUCCCUUCAAGCCCUGGCCCGAACUGAGUCCCCGCCCACCCGCCAGCGUCACGGCGCCCGACUCAGCUCCGCGCCGGACCCACCUCCGCGCCCUCAGGCCCUGCAUAUGCCCCGCCCCGCGCGGAAGUUCCGG
rnacentral:lncRNA from 1 species